UACGUAGGGUCCGAGCGUUGUCCGGAAUUACUGGGCGUAAAGAGCUCGUAGGUGGUUUGUCGCGUUGUUCGUGAAAACUCACGGCUUAACUGUGAGCGUGCGGGCGAUACGGGCAGACUGGAGUACUGCAGGGGAGACUGGAAUUCCUGGUGUAGCGGUGGAAUGCGCAGAUAUCAGGAGGAACACCGGUGGCGAAGGCGGGUCUCUGGGCAGUAACUGACGCUGAGGAGCGAAAGCGUGGGGAGCGAACAGG
rnacentral:rRNA from 1 species